rnacentral:rRNA from 1 species
GUCUACGGCCAUACCAUCCUGAACGCGCCCGAUCUCGUCUGAUCUCGGAAGCUAAGCAGGGUCGGGCCUGGUUAGUACUUGGAUGGGAGACCGCCUGAGAAUACCGGGUGCUGUAGGCU